rnacentral:rRNA from 1 species
AGGAUGAACGCUGGCGGUCUGCUUAACACAUGCAAGUCGAACGGAGUACCUCGGUACUUAGUGGCGGACGGGUGAGUAACGCGUGAGAAUCUGCCCUUAGGUCGGGGACAACCAUUGGAAACGAUGGCUAAUACCGGAUAAGCCGAGAGGUAAAAAGAUUAAUUGCCUAGGGAAGAGCUCGCGUCUGAUUAGCUAGUUGGUGAGGUAAAGGCUCACCAAGGCAUCGAUCAGUAGCUGGUCUGAGAGGAUGAUCAGCCACACUGGGACUGAGACACGGCCCAGACUCCUACGGGAGGCAGCAGUGGGGAAUUUUCCGCAAUGGGCGAAAGCCUGACGGAGCAAGACCGCGUGGGGAAGAAGGCUCUUGGGUUGUAAACCCCUUUUCUCUGGGAAGAACGCAAUGACGGUACCAGAGGAAUCAGCAUCGGCUAACUCCGUGCCAGCAGCCGC